AUGCCACAGCUCGAUCUGGAGUCCCUCUUCUGCGUCGGCGGCGGCGAGUCCAGGUCGACGAAGGUCGCCUGCGAGACCAUCGCGGUCGCAGCCUCCGACGUCGACGUCGCCAGCGCCCACGAGCAGUCGCGCCGGAUUAUCUGGGCCUGGUCCGGGCCAACCGGCGCGGCGCUGGAGCGGGACGGGUCGACCAAGGGCAGCUCCAACCCCAAGACCGCGGCAGAAGAGACGACGCGUAACAAGGGCGCGUCGAGGGCGCCGAGGAGGUUGGAGUUGGAGGCAAUCGUGGUGGGCGUUCUGCCUGCCGGGAAGAUGGUCGUGCAGCAGAGGCGCCCUCCUGUGGUCGGCCGCGGCUGGCGCCGGCCGGCCGCAGGGGCCAGGGUGUUCGCGAGCGAGGCCGUGGGCACGGAGCCCGUGUCCCCGAAGGUGUCGUGCUUUGGGGCUGUGCGGUCCGAGAGCCGCGCGGCGGCGCCUGCACCUGCGCCUUCGCCGCGCGGGGAGGAGGAGCAGGUCGAGGAGCGGAGCGGGUGCUGGGCGAGCGUCGCCUCCGCGCUUCGUGGCUUGCUAUGCGGCUCUGACUCGGACAACCGUCGGGAAGGUGAAUCUGGGGCGAGUGAAUCGAAGCCCGCGGUGUCGGGGUCGCCGACGGUGGACGGUCCAGUUCUGUCGCCGCCGCGGCCGGUGCUGGGUCUGGGAGACGUGAAGCAAAUUGCUUCGCGGCGGUGGCCGGAUGGAGAUGGGCGGUGCUUGGUUUGA
rnacentral:rRNA from 1 species